GACGAGGGGUCCAAGCGUUGUUCGGAAUUAUUGGGCGUAAAGCGGGUGUAGGUGGCUCUAUAAGUCAGGAGUGAAAUCCCCAAGCUUAACUUGGGAAGUGCUUUUGAUACUGCAGAGCUUGAAUGUGGGAGAGGAUAAUAGAAUUCCAGGUGUAGUGGUGAAAUGCGUAGAUAUCUGGAGGAACACCGGUGGCGAAGGCGGCAUCCUGGACCACGACUGACGCUGAGUGAGCGAAAGCCAGGGGAGCAAACAGG
rnacentral:rRNA from 1 species